GUGAGGAAUACAAACCUUAGAGACAAUAUGUCACUUGGUUUUGCGUCUCCAACGGUUAUCGUCACGUUCGAAAUAGUUUCAGCAUUACCCCUUGUCGACCGUUGGAUGAAACAAAUCCAACGGCCAAAAUAGAUGACCGUUUAACGAGAUCUUUAUCUCAUUUGGAACCCAAAAAGUCUGCGGGCUCAGAGGGAGAGUGAGAGAGAGAGAGAGGAGAGCCUCUCUUCUCACUGUGGUGAGCUUCCAAUUUUGGAUCCCACUUGAGAGUCUUAGAGUUGUUGUUUUUGUGCAAAAUCGGGAAGAGGAGAUGGCAGCAGCCACAAUUGAUUUUCCCAAACCAGAGUGUUAUAGGGGAUUGCCAAAGUAAUUUAUUAGUACAUGAGUACUCUGUUGCUAGUGUUUUCCUGCAAAGAAGAUGGCAAUAUGGAUGCCUCAUUGAGGUCCUCAUCUUUCAAAUCUCAUUGGACCAACCCAUUAUGCCUUGGCUUUUGGAGGAUGUCUCGAAUGGUGGAUUAACAUUGGAGGCAAGGAGUUAAGAGGGAGAGGAUGACUGACAUUGGCAGUAUUGGGCAAAAGCGACCCCAUUCAAAGAAAGAUAAAAAAACAAACAAAAGAGAGCAAUGAAGCAUCAAGAGUUGUAUGAAGUCUGAAUAUAUUUUGUUAAAAUAAGAUGAUGAUGAAGUUGCAUCUGGUUGUAGGAGUUAUAAGAGAGACAGAGGAUGACUGACAUUGGCAGUACUGGGCAAAAGUGACCCCAUUAGAAGGGGCUUGCAUUUGGUUGCAUUUUUCACCUAGUACCCUGUGGUUGUUGUGGAAGGAAAAGUAAUUGUACAUGCUACAAUUAAAAAUCGAUAAAAAAGGAAGAAAGGAACAAUGUUUUUAAGCACAUUGCCAAACAGUUUUACCAAACCUGUGUUCAACUCAAUAUCAUUUGUGUUGAUAACUUGAAGUUUAUAAUAGGCAAUUGGACAGUUUUGUCACAGUGGUCUUACAUCUAAGAAGCUUAGGGAUCCCUUAUUGAGAGACAUAGUGAAGGACAUUAAAAAGAUUUUGAAUUCCCAUAGUGGUGUGGAACAAGUAUGGCAUCACAAUUAUGCAUGAUGAUUUGCUUCGAUAGAAGGACGAGCUCAAUUAUUAAUUAUUUGGGCAGCAAUUAGAAUUUUUCUUGAAAUUUGUUUAUAUAUCGGACCAUUCACAUGAUGCAAAUUACUUAUUCAACUUGUUGGAUUAGAUUGUUGAUGAAGUUGGGGAAGAGUAUGUGGUACAAAUUUUUAAAGACAAUGCUGCCAAUUGUAUACUCUAUUGGCAUCUGUUGGCAUUGUUGAGAACAUAGUUGUUGGAGACGGUAGCGGGAUCAGUUCGGGAUUCGUCGAACCACCCUAUAGUGGAAGCUCCCUGGGGUUAGGAUCGGCGUCUGUGCAAUGAUCAAGACAAGUAACAAGAUCCUUGGGUUUGUGGGAGUGUGAUCCCAUGUCAAUGGGUUCGAUGUUUUGACUAGCAGGAAUCUAAGCUCCACUAUACAUAAAAAUGUGUUUGUCUAGUAGUAUGAGUUUCCUUGGUUAAAGAAUCGUGGUUUAAGUAUGUCAUACAACAAGGUUCCUCUUGUUCUGAUAUCGAGAUUCUCAACUAUGUUUGGCAUAUGUUUUAAGUCUUAAGUAUCACUCUCGGGAUGUGAGUACUCUCUAGGAGAGGGCCAACCACAUGAAGAUCUUGAUUUUGGGAGGGGGGGCAAAGGACGCCCAGGCCUAAGCGGCGACAGCAGUAGGAGCUAGAGGGAAGGUUGGGGGAAGAGAUAAACUACGAAAGAAUGAGGAAAACUGAGAAGGUCCCCAUUGGUGACGGAGACCAAAUAAUAUGAUCAUGACCUGAGGGGGGUAGGAAACAAGCUUGAAGUUCUACCGCUAAGGUGGCAAAAUUUUCAAUUUCUAUUUCCGUAAUAGCCCUUCUGAAAGUGGGACUUCACGAAUAGAUAGGUCCAGCCGAGAGCAUUUCUUGAGCUACUGUAGCCCCUUGAUCUCUAGCUAGAGAGAAGAGAUCAGGGAAUUUGUCUCUGAAAGGAGUGUGACCUAGCCAAAGGUCAUGCCAGAAGAGGAUGCGAUUUCCCACCCUCGGAUGAAAUCUGAUGUGGAAUUUGAAGGUAUUGAAUGUUGAGCAGAUUGACCUCCAAGUACCGAAGGACCUCUGGUUGGACUUGCAAUUCUGUGGCCAAGGAGAGGUCGGGAGACGACAUUUUUGUUUAAGUAUGUCAAUCCACUGCUGGUUACUUAAUGUCGACAUUGGCCAACUCCAUUCACCUAGCAGCGCCAAAUUUUUGAGUUCUGAGGUUCUUAAUUCCUAGACCUCCCCUUUUUUUGGUCUGGUAAAGUUUGUCCCAAGCAAUCAAAUGGAAUUUGUUACUUGAAUCAUCUCUUGACCAGAAGAACCUUCUCAUUAACUGUUCGAUUCUAGAGCUGACCGCUGCGAGCAUGUGGAAAAUGGACAUUUGAUAGACCAGGGUAUUAACAAGAGCGCGUGCCUUUGAUUAGAGUUAACCUUCCUCCUGGAGAGAGAAAACGCCCUUUCCAACCGGCAAGUUUGCGAUCCACUUUGUCUACAAUAUGAGACCAAAGUCUUUGUUUAGGUUUGCCUAUGCAAAGAGGAAGCCCCAGGUACUUUGAUGGCAGGAUUUCGACGCCGCAGCCCCAACUAUUAGCAAAGUUCAAGAGAGUGGUUGAGUCUACAUUGACCCCCACCAUUUUGGGGUUGCGAAGCACCUUUGAAAUAGAAAGGGGUUGCGAAUUUCUUCGGGGUUAGCAUUGCAGAAGCACCUUAGAAACAGAAAGAAGUUGCAAAAAUCUUCAGGGUUGGCAUUGUAGAAUAUCAAGGCGUCAUCUGCGUAUUGUAGGUGGGAAAUUGUGGGGGCCUGAGGACCGACGGAAAAACCAUGCAGGUGUCCAGCGGAGUACAUCCUGGUCCAGCAGAGUACAUCUUGGAAAUGAACCUACUGAAUACCUUGGCUGCAAUUGCGAAGAGAAAGGGAGAAAGGGAUCGCCCUGUCUAAUGCCUCUUGUAGAAGGAAAAUAUCCUUUGGGCGUUCCAUUAAUGAGGAUGGAGAAGUGAGGCUGAGAGUAACACGCUCUCAUCCAAGUUCUCCACCUAAUACCAAAACCCAUCCUAGAUUGAGUUUCUUCAAGGAUGUCCCAGUGUACAUGGUCAUAAGCCUUUUCCCAGGUCGAGUUUGAUUACAAUACCAAGGACACCGGCUAAGUAUCUAGAGUGAAUACAUUCAUGGGACACGAGUAUUAGCGCAUCACUUGUUCUUAAGGCUAGCUCUUUGCGGGCUGCCAUUUGGGAACAUGUGGUUCACAAAAUGCAAUGGGCUGGGGCCAAUAUAACUCAACUCACAGCCUCCCACUCGUCUGUAAUUUUCCUCUUGAUCAGAUCUUUGUCCUGUGAGGUCAAUUCUUUUGGAUCACUAAGGCUACAAUGGGAAACAUGAUUGUACCACAUGCUGGUUCUUCAUUUCUUGAUUUAAAUGACCAUCAACAAAUUUCUUAUUCUUUGAAAAAGUUACUGGAAAGACUCUGAUUUAUAUUGGUGAAGUUCUUUAUGUGUCAGCUAGUUCACUCUUUCAAAUAUAAUGGGUAGAAAGUUUUUUUGUUAUCAUCUGCAACAUUCUAGGGGUUUCUGGGAAGUGAUAUACGCUCCACAAUGUCUUUCUUGAAUAGUUGCAUAAAUAAUUCUUUGUGAAGGCGCUACCAAAAGGGUGUUCGUCUUGACGCGAAACACAGUGGACUGAAGAAAGCAUAUUUUGGAUUGAAAAAUCUUAUAAUGAAGACAAAGUGUAAGGUUGAAGAUAAUUUAGCUAAGGGUAAGUUGCGAUUAGCAGUAGAGGACUUUAAAGGAGCACUUGCGCUGGACCCAAAUCAUACUGCAUACCAUGUCCAUCUUGCUUAUCAGAAAGCUUUGGGUCUGGCCAGUGAACAUUUUAGACCUUCUCUCUUGAGCAGUUGUGCAUUUUGAAUCUUAACACCUCCAACUUCGCACCCAUUUGUAUUGGCAAUGGAAUGGGGAGUAGCAGAGGCCGUUGCUUCUUGAGGAAUAGCCAAACUACCAUCGCUUGGGAAGAUUGAAUAUCUCUCAAGCAUAUUGGUCGUUUAUUUACAUGUAUUCAAAAUUUCUUGUAUAGCUUAACACUUCAGUAUAUUUAUUAACUGAUUUACAGAAUGCACUUACUAUAAAUUGGAUAUGAACUCUGUUUACAGGGUAUUAAAGCAUAUAUUAACUGAUUUACCUUAUAUUGAAAUAUUGAUUUAGGUGGUCAUCAUGCUGAUGGAAUGAAACCAUCUAUCUAAAUUAACUAAA